rnacentral:rRNA from 1 species
GUAGGUGGCAAGCGUUGUCCGGAAUUAUUGGGCGUAAAGCGCGCGCAGGCGGUUCUUUAAGUCUGAUGUGAAAGCCCACGGCUCAACCGCGGAGGGUCAUUGGAAACUGGAGAACUUGAGUACAGAAGAGGAAAGCGGAAUUCCACGUGUAGCGGUGAAAUGCGUAGAGAUGUGGAGGAACACCAGUGGCGAAGGCGGCUUUCUGGUCUGUAACUGACGCUGGGGCGCGAAAGCGUGGGGAGCAAACAGGGAUUAGAUACCCUGGUAGUCCACGCCGUAAACGAUGAGUGCUAAGUGUUAGGGGGUUUCCCGCCCCUUAGUGCUGCAGCUAACGCAUUAAGCACUCCGCCUGGGGAGUACGGCCGCAAGGCUG